rnacentral:rRNA from 1 species
CGAGGAAUAUUGCACAAUGGGCGCAAGCCUGAUGCAGUAACGCCGCGUGGGGGACGAAGACCUUCGGGUUGUAAACUCCUUUUCAACGGGACGAGCGAGGACGGUACCGUUGGAAUCAGUCUCGGCUAACUACGUGCCAGCAGCCGCGGUAAGACGUAGGAGGCGAGCGUUAUCCGGAUUCACUGGGCGUAAAGCGCAUGUAGGCGGUUGGACAAGUCCUGGAUGAAAGCGUCCGGCUCAACUGGACGAGGUUUCAGGAGACUGUUCGGACUCGAGGGCAGCAGAGGUCGGUGGAACUCCCGGUGUAGCGGUGGAAUGCGUAGAGAUCGGGAAGAACACCAGUGGCGAAGGCGACCGACUGGGCUGCAACUGACGCUGAGAUGCGAAAGUGUGGGGAGCAAACGGGAUUAGAUACCCGCGUAGUCC